UACGAAGGGGGCUAGCGUUGUUCGGAAUUACUGGGCGUAAAGCGCGCGUAGGCGGCCAUCCAAGUCAGUGGUGAAAGCCCGGAGCUCAACUCCGGAACUGCCAUUGAAACUGUUUAGCUUGAGUACGAGAGAGGUGAGUGGAAUUCCCAGUGUAGAGGUGAAAUUCGUAGAUAUUGGGAAGAACACCAGUGGCGAAGGCGGCUCACUGGCGCGUAACUGACGCUCAGGCGCGACAGCGUGGGGAGCAAACAGG
rnacentral:rRNA from 1 species